UUAUUGUAUAAUUACCUAAAUAUGUUUUUUAAUAUUGUAUGUACCUAGUUUUCCGUUUAUUAUGAAAACAGCUGGGAAAAUCAAACAAUGACCUCACUAUCGUAUCCCCUUUCAGAAAAAGUACUGUCAUUGUAAAACCAAGACAUUUUUCGCUCCACUUGGAAUCUAAAACAUUAAUAACAUACAUAUUUUUAUAAUACUAAAUAUUUUUAAGACAACUAUUCUUAUCUUAAAUGUUAUCACCGGGUAUACCAAUUCUCUGCAAGUAAAUGAAUAAUUGAAAAGAUCAAUUAUUCUUGAUAUUGUUAUUUUAUUAUUGAUUGGGCAACGCAUCGUUCAAAUGUUAGUUCACGAUGUCACUUUUUGUCUAGGGAUAGGUUAUAUUGACUCACAGACUUUAUACAUUUAUACCAUAUAUUAUCAAUAUAAGGUCUAUGUAUUCAUGGUCCCUACUAUGCAGUUAAACCACCGUGUUCGAUGUAUUUUUCUAGCGCUGUUAUUAUAAAAUUUUAUCAGUUUUUUUUUCAAUGGAGGAAGGGGGAUUGUCUUCGAGGGAGACAUAGGUUUGAAGAAAAAUUAAAAUUGAAUUUUUAUUUCAAUCUCCUAAGCAUAUACAUAAAAAAAAAAAAAAAAAAAAACUAUUCACUUUAAAUUUCGAAAUAGCCAUUUUGUAAAAAAUAUUAUUCUAAAAAUUUAAAAGUAUCACGUUUAUAUAAAUUAUGGGAGUUUUAAUUUUUAGAAAAUAAGCGUGAAAACAAUAUUCAAGGUAAAGAAUUACCAUGCAUGCUAAUUGUAAUUUCUUAUCACAUACUGUGUUAUUUUAUUGAAUAUAAAUUGUUUCCACGCUUAAUUAAAAUGGCUAAAACUAAGAAAUUAUUCAUCGGAUAUGAUUUUGUGAUACAUUAACAUUUGUAUUCGUUGAACAUGGUAAUACACACUGUAAAGUAUAAAAGGGGAACACUUUUAACACUUUGUGCGUUCUUCUAAGAAUAUUGGAUUCAGGUACUUUUAUAAAACUAUAAGUGUGCAUUAUUUUUUAAUUUUAAUGACAACCAACAAACAAUAAAAGUUUUCCUUUCCUUGAAUUUUACACACAGGGUUCAAUCUUCCAAUUGUCCAAGUUACAAGCCAUCAGUGGUCGAUAUUCUGUUAUUGUUUUAGUUUUAUUAUAUUUGAAUUUAUAUUCAACCAAUAUUUUUCUUACUUUUUAUGGUCCUUUAUACAAUGUAUCAUAAGAUGUUUAAUAACGUGUAUACUAACAAAAACACUUUAUGUAAAAGUAAUCCAAGGGUUAGCGCUAACAAAUUAAUACUUUAAGAGAAAUAAUCAAAAC